UGGGAAUAUUGGACAAUGGGCGAAAGCCUGAUCCAGCCAUGCCGCGUGUGUGAAGAAGGUCUUCGGAUUGUAAAGCACUUUAAGUUGGGAGGAAGGGCAGUUACCUAAUACGUGAUUGUCUUGACGUUACCGACAGAAUAAGCACCGGCUAACUCUGUGCCAGCAGCCGCGGUAAUACAGAGGGUGCAAGCGUUAAUCGGAAUUACUGGGCGUAAAGCGCGCGUAGGUGGUUUGUUAAGUUGGAUGUGAAAUCCCCGGGCUCAACCUGGGAACUGCAUUCAAAACUGACAGGCUAGAGUAUGGUAGAGGGUGGUGGAAUUUCCUGUGUAGCGGUGAAAUGCGUAGAUAUAGGAAGGAACACCAGUGGCGAAGGCGACCACCUGGACUGAUACUNACACUGAGGUGCGAAAGCGGUGGGGAAGCAAAACAGGAUUAGAUACCCUGGUAGUCCACGCCGUAAACGAUGUCAACUAGCCGUUGGGAGCCUUGAGCUCUUAGUGGCGCAGCUAACGCAUUAAGUUGACCGCCUGGGGAGUACGGCCGC
rnacentral:rRNA from 1 species